rnacentral:lncRNA from 1 species
UCGAAUUUUUUUCGAAUUUCGAGUUCGAAUCGAGUUGAAUUUUCCAAUUCGAAUAACUCGAAUAAUUCGAAUAAACCGGAUAUCAAACUAUAAUGUUUUACAUUUUUAUCCUAAACCCUCAAACCUUUUUACUUUUUCCCCAAAACUUUUGCUCCUUAUUUUCCCUCCAAAACUUUUACUCCCCUCUCAUCCCAGCCCCUCCAUCUACCCCAAAUCCAUUUCCCACCAAUUUUUUUAAUAUUUUCCCUCCAAAAUUUUACUCUCCCAUUUUUCUUUCCCUCAAACUUUUACUCUAAAAAACCCUCAAAACUUUUACUCCCUUGCCAUCCCACCCCCAUCUACCCCAAACUCAUCUCCCCCCCC